rnacentral:rRNA from 1 species
GUGCCAGCAGCCGCGGUAAUACAGAGGGUGCGAGCGUUGUUCGGAAUUACUGGGCGUAAAGCGCGUGUAGGCGGUUUGAUAAGUCAGAUGUGAAAGCCUGGAGCCUAACUCCAGAAGUGCAUUUGAAACUGUCAAGCUAGAGUGAUGUAGAGGAUGGCGGAAUACCCAGUGUAGAGGUGAAAUUCGUAGAGAUUGGGUAGAACACCGGUGGCGAAGGCGGCCAUCUGGGCAUUAACUGACGCUGAGACGCGAAAGCAUGGGGAGCAAACAGGAUUAGAUACCCCGGUAGUCC